rnacentral:rRNA from 1 species
CACAUGCAAGUCGAGCGGUAAGGCCCUUCGGGGUACACGAGCGGCGAACGGGUGAGUAACACGUGAGCAACCUGCCCCUGACUCCGGGAUAAGCGGUGGAAACGCCGUCUAAUACCGGAUACGACCUGUCACCUCAUGGUGGCGGGUGGAAAGUUUUUCGGUCGGGGAUGGGCUCGCGGCCUAUCAGCUAGUUGGUGGGGUAAAGGCCUACCAAGGCGAUUACGGGUAGCCGGCCUGAGAGGGCGACCGGCCACACUGGGACUGAGACACGGCCCAGACUCCUGCGGGAGGCAGCAGUGGGGAAUAUUGCGCAAUGGGCGAAAGCCUGACGCAGCGACGCCGCGUGGGGGAUGACGGCCUUCGGGUUGUAAACCUCUUUUACCACCAACGCAGGCUCCCAGUUCUCUGGGGGUUGACGGUAGGUGGGGAAUAAGGACCGGCUAACUACGUGCCAGCAGCCGCGGUAAUACGUAGGGUCCGAGCGUUGUCCGGAAUUAUUGGGCGUAAAGAGCUCGUAGGCGGCGUGUCGCGUCUGCUGUGAAAGACCGGGGCUUAACUCCGGUUCUGCAGUGGAUACGGGCAUGCUAGAGGUAGGUAGGGGAGACUGGAAUUCCUGGUGUAGCGGUGAAAUGCGCAGAUAUCAGGAGGAACACCGGUGGCGAAGGCGGGUCUCUGGGCCUUACCUGACGCUGAGGAGCGAAAGCAUGGGGAGCGAACAGGAUUAGAUACCCUGGUAGUCCAUGCCGUAAACGUUGGGCGCUAGGUGUGGGGACUUUCCACGGUUUCCGCGCCGUAGCUAACGCAUUAAGCGCCCCGCCUGGGGAGUACGGCCGCAAGGCUAAAACUCAAAGGAAUUGACGGGGGCCCGCACAAGCGGCGGAGCAUGUUGCUUAAUUCGACGCAACGCGAAGAACCUUACCAGGUUUGACAUCACCCGUGGACCUGCAGAAGAUGUGGGGUCAUUUAGUGGUGGGUGAACAGGUGGUGCAUG